CAGUAGCCGCGGUAAUACGUAGGUGGCAAGCGUUGUCCGGAAUUAUUGGGCGUAAAGGGCUCGCAGGCGGUUUCUUAAGUCUGAUGUAAAAGCCCCCGGCUCAACCGGGGAGGGUCAUUGGAAACUGGGAAACUUGAGUGCAGAAGAGGAGAGUGGAAUUCCACGUGUAGCGGUGAGAUGCGUAGAGAUGUGGAGGAACACCAGUGGCGAAGGCGACUCUCUGGUCUGUAACUGACGCUGAGGAGCGAAAGCGUGGGGAGCGAACAGGAUUAGAUACCCCAGUAGUCCCUGUCUCUUAUAA
rnacentral:rRNA from 1 species